rnacentral:rRNA from 1 species
UACGUAGGGUGCGAGCGUUGUCCGGAAUUAUUGGGCGUAAAGAGCUUGUAGGCGGUUUGUCGCGUCUGCCGUGAAAAUUCGAGGCUCAACCUCGAACUUGCGGUGGGUACGGGCAGACUAGAGUGUGGUAGGGGAGACUGGAAUUCCUGGUGUAGCGGUGAAAUGCGCAGAUAUCCGGAGGAACACCGGUGGCGAAAGCGGCUCUCUGGCCCGGUUCUGACGCUGAGGCGCGAAAGCGUGGGGAGCAAACAGG